rnacentral:rRNA from 1 species
UACGGAGGAUCCAAGCGUUAUCCGGAAUCAUUGGGUUUAAAGGGUCCGUAGGCGGUCUUAUAAGUCAGUGGUGAAAUCUCCCCGCUCCAACGGGGAAACGGCCAUUGAUACUGUAGGACUUGAAUUAUUAGGAAGUAACUAGAAUAUGUAGUGUAGCGGUGAAAUGCUUAGAGAUUACAUGGAAUACCAAUUGCGAAGGCAGGUUACUACUAAUGGAUUGACGCUGAUGGACGAAAGCGUGGGUAGCGAACAGG